AACGAACGCUGGCGGCAUGCCUAACACAUGCAAGUCGAACGAGACCUUCGGGUCUAGUGGCGCACGGGUGCGUAACGCGUGGGAACCUGCCUUUAGGUUCGGAAUAACUCAGAGAAAUUUGAGCUAAUACCGGAUAAUGUCUUCGGACCAAAGAUUUAUCGCCUUUAGAUGGGCCCGCGUUUGGAUUAGCUAGUUGGUGGGUAAAGGCCUACCAAGGCGACGAUCCAUAGCUGGUCUGAGAGGAUGAUCAGCCACACUGGGACUGAGACACAGCCCAGACUCCUACGGAGGCAGCAGUGGGAAUAUUGGACAAUGGGCGAAAGCCUGAUCCAGCAAUGCCGCGUGAGUGAUGAAGGCCUUAGGGUUGUAAAGGCUCUUUUUACCCC
rnacentral:rRNA from 1 species